AAACAAGAACAUAACUUGAGAUUUGUGUCGUGUUUCUUUGUCUGUUUGUGUUUUUAGUAGUUUCAUUGUAAUGCAAAGUUUCAUCCUUUCUGUGUUGGGUUUAAGCUGAGAGUGAGCUUCUGACCUAUGCUCUGUUUCAAUUGUUCUGAAUCUAUCAGUUUUGGUACGUUGGUUUAGAGUUAAAGAGACUGCUCAGAAAGCUUAUGUGAUGACUUCUCCUAUCUGAGAGGAAACAAGUCUUUAGAAGUUCCAUUGUAAUGAAAAGACUCCUCCUUUCUGUUAAUUUUCAUGGUGAAUCUCGAGUUUUUAACUUCAGGGUUUAAGCUGAGAGUGAGCUUCUGAUCUAUGCUCUGUUUCAAGUGUUAUGUUUAGAGUUAAAGAGACUGUUCAGGAAGCUUAUGUGAUGACUUAUCUGAGAGGAAACAAGUCUGAUAUAUCCCUAAAUCCAAAAGCAGAAGCAUGGAUAUCCCUUCACCAAACAAACUACCAACAUUCAUAUGAAGAAGACAUGCCUUAAGCUCGGCUAGGACGGUCAUAAGGACCCAGUCUGCUCCUAUAGGCUCUUCCCUCAUCACUUAACGGUCCCAUAGAUACAUACCAAUCACUUGCACCCCUUGUGUAUGUGUCUCUGUCAAAGCCUCUAUCUCUCUUGCCAUAAUUAUCCUCAAGAUGAUGAUGGUGUUCAGGUAUCCCAUACCUCUAUCACUCACCAAACGGCGUAAACCUAGACUGAUUAAUGCAUCAAAAGAUCAGGACUUUCUUAAACUAUAAUAUACAUGUUGGAAACCAAUAAUAGAGCUACAAAUUACAAACCUCUCAACUGGAUAAAGAUCACCAGUUUCAUACUUGUCUCCACCCUCAAAGCGGUCUCUGUAGCUAUAUCCAUGUAGCGGUCACGCUCCAGCUCACCAAUCUCUAUAGCAUCUCGGUGUCCAUGGAACUUUUCAACUAGUUGAGGGACCAUGGCGUCCACACUUAAAUGCACUCAUCUAAAGCAGCUCCUCCUCCAUGGCUUCCCUUUCCUCGGGAUGGAUAGCCUCCCCUGUAAUGAAGAUGGUCUACAUCAACAUCAUCUCCCCCACCCUUGGGCUCAGCCUUGUUCACCGAUAUCACCCUAUCACCUAACUCCCUCAUCAGCUCCUCGGCGAUAACUGCAUGCAAUAAACCCAAAACCACGUGGACGGCCAGUGUCUUUCCUCGUCCCAAGUGAUACUGCCAAAAUAAAACCAUCAGCAAAUCUGAAAGACAUCAAAGACGCUUUAGAGGACAGAGGGGUGAAGUAAACAUCGUACCAGAUCGUUGUGAGUUCCUUCGGAGAUUUGGUUUUCGAUCUAUCCAAAUCCAUGAUCGAAUCUAACGGUUUCGUCUUCAACGGUGAGAAGAAGAAGAAGACCGUUCGGUGAAGAUCCGUCGAGACGGGCAACGAGAGGACGAAGAGAGCUUUUAUCCUUGCAAAAUGAGAAGAAGAAGAUGACCGAUCAUUCGCCGGAGUUUCAUCCUUCCAGAGAUCGCCAGAGAAUCGCCAUAGACGGAGGAAAAAGGAAGAAAGAAAAGAAAAUAUGGGUUUCGACGGAAACCCCGAAGAAGGAGAAAGAGUUGUAGAAUCGGUCCAAUUAGAAGUAGCCACAUAGGGGUUCCAACAAAUCCUAAAAAUGCCAAGUUAAUUACCGGUUCUCUUCUUUCUUUCUAUUUUUCAUUUAUUUUUGGGCCUUUAAUUUUUUGAAACCCAUUGCUAGAACUCCCGACGGAGCUGCUCUGAGCUUCAACAGACAAGCUUUAUUAUAAUGAGGGAAAGAACAUUAGACAAUGACUUUUCUGCCCUCGUCCUUAGCUGGAUCUAAUCCCACCACUCUCUCCAGCUGUGAACCCAAUUGCAUCUCCUCUGUCGAAACCCAAUCUGUUUAUUCGAGUUGAGAAGAAGAAGAAGAAGAUGAUAGCUGUGAUUGGAUUGCUUCUGGGUUUUCUACUUUCAGCAUUGUUCUCGAUCCAAGCGAAGCGAAGAAGAUCAAACGACCAUCAAGAGACGAAGCGAUAUCCUGUAGAUUUAAUUCCUAAAAGCUACAGCAAGAGUGAAGUCGCAGAGCAUAACAAAAGAGACGAUUGUUGGAUCAUAAUCAAAGACAAAGUCUACGACGUUACUUCUUAUGUGGAAGAGCAUCCUGGUGGUGACGCCAUUCUAGAUCACGCUGGUGAUGAUUCUACUGAUGGGUUUUUCGGACCGCAACACGCGACUCGUGUUUUCGACAUGAUCGAGGAUUUCUACAUCGGACAACUUCGCAAGUAAGAGAGGAAAAAAACAAGAACAUAACUUGAGAUUUGUGUCGUGUUUCUUUGUCUGUUUGUGUUUUUAGUAGUUUCAUUGUAAUGCAAAGUUUCAUCCUUUCUGUGUUGGGUUUAAGCUGAGAGUGAGCUUCUGACCUAUGCUCUGUUUCAAUUGUUCUGAAUCUAUCAGUUUUGGUACGUUGGUUUAGAGUUAAAGAGACUGCUCAGAAAGCUUAUGUGAUGACUUCUCCUAUCUGAGAGGAAACAAGUCUUUAGAAG
rnacentral:lncRNA from 1 species